CUUUAUUGGAGAGUUUGAUCCUGGCUCAGGAUGAACGCUGGCGGCGUGCCUAAUACAUGCAAGUCGAGCGAAUGGAUUAAGAGCUUGCUCUUAUGAAGUUAGCGGCGGACGGGUGAGUAACACGUGGGUAACCUGCCCAUAAGACUGGGAUAACUCCGGGAAAC
rnacentral:rRNA from 1 species